UAGGGAAUCUUCCGCAAUGGACGAAAGUCUGACGGAGCAACGCCGCGUGAGUGAAGAAGGAUUUCGGUUCGUAAAACUCUGUUGUUAGGGAAGAAAAAAUGUAUAGUAACUAUAUACAAAAGAGACGGUACCUAACCAGAAAGCCACGGCUAACUACGUGCCAGCAGCCGCGGUAAUACGUAGGUGGCAAGCGUUGUCCGGAAUUAUUGGGCGUAAAGCGCGCGCAGGUGGUUUAGAAAGUCUGAUGUGAAAGCCCACGGCUCAACCGUGGAGGGUCAUUGGAAACUAAUAAACUUGAGUGCAGGAGAGAAAAGUGGAAUUCCUAGUGUAGCGGUGAAAUGCGUAGAGAUUAGGAGGAACACAGGUGGCGAAAGCGGCUUUUUGGCCUGCAACUGACACUGAGGCGCGAAAGCGUGGGGAGCAAACAGG
rnacentral:rRNA from 1 species